CUACGGGGCGCACCAGUGGGGAAUUUUGGACAAUGGGCGAAAGCCUGAUCCAGCAAUGCCGCGUGUGCGAAGAAGGCCUUCGGGUUGUAAAGCACUUUUGUCAGGGAAGAAAUCGUUUGGGUUAAUACCCCGAGCAGUUGACGGUACCUGAAGAAUAAGCACCGGCUAACUACGUGCCAGCAGCCGCGGUAAUACGUAGGGUGCAAGCGUUAAUCGGAAUUACUGGGCGUAAAGCGUGCGCAGGUGGUUUGUUAAGACAGUUGUGAAAUCCCCGGGCUUAACCUGGGAACUGCAAUUGUGACUGGCAGACUGGAGUGAGGCAGAGGGGGGCGGAAUUCCUGGUGUAGCAGUGAAAUGCGUAGAUAUCAGGAGGAACACCGAUGGCGAAGGCAGCCCCCUGGGCCAUCACUGACACUCAUGCACGAAAGCGUGGGGAGCAAACAGGAUUAGAUACCCGAGUAGUC
rnacentral:rRNA from 1 species